UACGGAGGAUCCAAGCGUUAUCCGGAUUUAUUGGGUUUAAAGGGUGCGUAGGCGGCCGGGUAAGUCUGAUGUGAAAUCUCACAGCUUAACUGUGAAACUGCAUUGGAUACUAUCCGGCUCGAGGAAUGGAGGGGAGACUGGAAUACUUGGUGUAGCAGUGAAAUGCGUAGAUAUCAAGUGGAACACCAGUGGCGAAGGCGAGUCUCUGGACAUUUCCUGACGCUGAGGCACGAAAGCCAGGGGAGCAAACGGG
rnacentral:rRNA from 1 species